rnacentral:rRNA from 1 species
GAGUGGCGGACGGGUGAGGAAUACAUCGGAAUCUACCUUUUCGUGGGGGAUAACGUAGGGAAACUUACGCUAAUACCGCAUACGACCUUCGGGUGAAAGCAGGGGACCUUCGGGCCUUGCGCGGAUAGAUGAGCCGAUGUCGGAUUAGCUAGUUGGCGGGGUAAAGGCCCACCAAGGCGACGAUCCGUAGCUGGUCUGAGAGGAUGAUCAGCCACACUGGAACUGAGACACGGUCCAGACUCCUACGGGAGGCAGCAGUGGGGAAUAUUGGACAAUGGGCGCAAGCCUGAUCCAGCCAUACCGCGUGGGUGAAGAAGGCCUUCGGGUUGUAAAGCCCUUUUGUUGGGAAAGAAAAGCAGUCGGCUAAUACCCGGUUGUUCUGACGGUACCCAAAGAAUAAGCACCGGCUAACUUCGUGCCAGCAGCCGCGGUAAUACGAAGGGUGCAAGCGUUACUCGGAAUUACUGGGCGUAAAGCGUGCGUAGGUGGUUGUUUAAGUCUGUUGUGAAAGCCCUGGGCUCAACCUGGGAAUUGCAGUGGAUACUGGGCGACUAGAGUGUG